AGUGAACGCUGGCGGUAGGCCUAACACAUGCAAGUCGAACGGCAGCACAGUAAGAGCUUGCUCUUACGGGUGGCGAGUGGCGGACGGGUGAGGAAUACAUCGGAAUCUACUUUUUCGUGGGGGAUAACGUAGGGAAACUUACGCUAAUACCGCAUACGACCUACGGGUGAAAGCAGGGGAUCUUCGGACCUUGCGCGAUUGAAUGAGCCGAUGUCGGAUUAGCUAGUUGGCGGGGUAAAGGCCCACCAAGGCGACGAUCCGUAGCUGGUCUGAGAGGAUGAUCAGCCACACUGGAACUGAGACACGGUCCAGACGCCUACGGGAGGCAGCAGUGGGGAAUAUUGGACAAUGGGCGCAAGCAUGAUCCAGCCAGACCGCGUGGGUGAAGAAGGCCUUCGGGUUGUAAAGCCCUUUUGUUGGGAAAGAAAAGCAGCAGGUUAAGACCCCGCUGUUCUGACGGUACCCAAAGAAUAAGCACCGGCUAACUUCGUG
rnacentral:rRNA from 1 species